UUUGCGCAAGGGAUAGCAGUGUAAAUCCUUUUAUUAUUCUGUCAGGGUUCAAAACCCUGACAGAAUAAUAAAAGAUUGAAACGUAUAGCCCGACUAAGC
rnacentral:sRNA from 1 species